AUAUCUGAUCUUUGUCUAAGGUCAAGUUUAACAUCUGUUCUUAUCAGUUAAAUAUCUUUUUCAUUCUUGACCUGAAGAUGUCAUAUUAAACAGAUUUUUGGGACCAAGAGAUGGGUUAGAACAUUUUCUGUGCAUAUUCUAUGCAUGUCUGUUAUUGCAGUGUCUAGAGAAGCAGCACAGCCACA
rnacentral:snRNA from 1 species